rnacentral:rRNA from 1 species
GUGUCAGCCGCCGCGGUAAUACGUAGGGUGCGAGCGUUAAUCGGAAUUACUGGGCGUAAAGCGUGCGCAGGCGGUUUUGUAAGACAGGUGUGAAAUCCCCGGGCUUAACCUGGGAAUGGCGCUUGUGACUGCAAGACUCGAGUGCGGCAGAGGGGGGUGGAAUUCCACGUGUAGCAGUGAAAUGCGUAGAGAUGUGGAGGAACACCGAUGGCGAAGGCAGCCCCCUGGGUCGACACUGACGCUCAUGCACGAAAGCGUGGGGAGCAAACAGGAUUAGAUACCCUUGUAGUCC